rnacentral:lncRNA from 1 species
UAAUGUCUUGGUGUUUUUUUUACCAGAUCCUUUUUCUAGUAAGUACUAUCAUACGGAUGAUUCAAGUGUUAACAUCAUAAACCACAGUUUUAAGUGAAACAUCAUAUAUCUCCCUUUAUAGUCUCUGAUAAUUUAAGAAGCAAGACAAAAUUCACCGUUCUUCAUACGGCUUAUCUGUGAACAACCUUGUUGCUACACCAUUUACGAUCUCAUCACAUUAUUCAGUUGAACAUGACAUCCAAUCAUAGCUAAUUAGUUUCCAUUUUUGGGAGGAAUGUAUGUGCACUGCUGGCACUUGCACGCCCCCGCAACACACUCGCCAUAUCCGCCGACCCACACACGGUCGAUGCAUGCCUGAUUGCAGCUUUUGUUAUCACAUGGCUUUGGCGACGGGAUAAUGCUUGUCGUACAAGGGAUUCCUUCAACGCCCACUGACGCCUCCGUUGCCACAUCCUGCAAAAUCUCACCAUGAGAUAAAGGGAAGAUCAGAACUUGGCCAUUAUUUGUUUGGACGAGAUUUUGAAGGAACGUAGUACAUGAACAAAUGGGUACCUGAUGCUAGGACAAGGAAGGCGAUGGCCAGGAGCAACAUCUGGCUAGUCCUCAUCUUAGAUACUUGUUGUAUUGAAGGAAAUACUUGUCGAUCGUUGCUUUGCUCUGUGAGUUCUGAAGGAAAACAUCACGGACAGGCCAUUUUAUACCGGAUUUAUGGUAUUAAAGUACAAGAUUGGCUAUGAUUAAAUGUCAUGAUUAUUAGUCUCCAAAUAUUGUUGCCCUGUAAUAAUUACUAUCCAAUAUUACUACCCUGUGUAUAUCUUCUUUUUGUUUGGUUGUAAUAUUCGUUUCGUUUUUUGUUCUGACAGUAUAGAAUAUAUAUGCUACGGUUCAGGGUGUCCACUGAUUUCGACUAAGGCGUGGCAAACCUUGUAUUAUUGUUCCAGUGACCAUUUAUUUUCAGCUCUUGCGGAGAGAGAUAAAAAAUUAUGGGAAAGAAGAUGGAUAUGACAUGCGGACCCAUGCAGUCAGUGAGAGUAGAGAGUGAUCCCGUCCGGGAUCAUUAUUUUCCUAGCGUGACAAACCAGUCAAGACCGGUUUAGGGUUGAGAUAGACCAGGAUCAAAGACUGCAGAGUGUCAAUUUAUUCCUGGCCUCAAGCGCCAGGCACGCGGUCGUCGCCGGAGCGUAUCGACGUGUGGGAACGACCUACGCGCAGCUCAUCGCAGUGCUGGUCGCAGCCAACAAACACGAUGCACACAUAACAUCAACACGCUCGGACUGCCUCUCAAAACAUUUAUGCAGCCUGUUGAGGCUAAGAAUCACCAAACUGAUCUAUCUCACAGUUUCGUUGUCAGGUCAUGAGCCCUCGGGCGCAAACUUCACGUUCCUGAGCAGCAUCCACAACAACCUGCUGGUCGACGGGAUGUCGACGCAGGCCGGCUGGGGCCACGCCUGGAGCAGGUACGCGGGGCCCCUGAGCUACCCCCGCCAGGCGCACCAGUGCGCGUUGACCCCGCUCCUCGCGCACGCCUGGUGGGACGGCCGGUGGCGGAGCCCCACCGGCAGGGACGUCAGGAGGCUACUGGGCUACGGCGUCUCGUUGUCGGACACAGGGGAGGUGGACGAGGAGCGGCUCGCAUGGCACUGUCGGUCGAGGGAAGAUCAUGUCAAGAGGUUCCAUCUUCUCCCGCCGUACAAGAGUUGAGCAAUGGUGAAGGAAGUAGGAUUGAGGUGGGUGAGGCAGGCGCCUCAUGCCAUGCUUUUGGAGAGCUCGGUUUCAAGAGAAGAGAACCGCUGAGACACACACUGAGUAGAGCUAAUGGUAGUAGGCCAGAACGGUCUGAUGGUUACAGUUUUGGUAGGCUGGUGCGUGUGUCGUGCUGGUGGUAUACCAAAAAAGGUGGUCAUGUAGGGGGUUACGGGGGGAAAACGGUGAGGCUUUGUUCCAAUCCAUGUGGAGCAUAAUAGUACCAUAUUUGUCUUCUCCAACCAUUUUCUACCCUCCAGAUCACUCUCUUCACAGUUCAAGAGCUAAAAACCGUACUGAUCUGUUGAUUCUGACCCAAAAACCUUGCUAGUGAACUAUUAAAUAUUGUACAGCCUUAGUAAUAGCAAAAGCCGACCUAGCUCAGUGGUAGAGCGCGUGGCUUUUAACCACGUGGCCGUGGGUUCGAUCCCCACGGUCGGCGUCCCUUUGUGGCCUCCAUUUUCUGCUUCAUAAUAUAGGAAUAGAAAAAAAUCGUGAGUGAUUUCUUUUUUUGCAAAUAAGGUCAUAAAGGAUUAUUACCACUAAGGCCUCCAGAAAAAAAAAAUCAGAAAAUAUCUCUUUUUUUGCGAAUAAGAUCAUAAAGGAUUAUUACCACUAAGGCCUACUUUUGCUUCCUAAGAUAGGAGGAAAAUCAUAUUAAGUGAGGUGGCAUGUAUUUUAAUCUCUACUAGGAAACUCUAGGCUAAUACUUCUUUUUCUUUGAAAUGUGAAAGAUUGAUUCCUAUCUUACAUAGAAUAGAGAUCCAUUCCUGCGAAACAAAGGGUUUCAAAGGAUUUUUAUUUUCCAUUGAAAUUUCUACAAAAGACCCACAAACCAAAGGAGGCCUAAGAAAAAUACACCAUGUUUUUUGUCAUCUCCUGUACAUUCUUCAGUAUAGUUCUCAAUCCGCUCCGCGAAUCCGAUUUCAUGUCUUCACCCCACCAGAUAAAUGUCAAUGAAAACUGUUUGCUGCUUUAUUCUAAUAUACUAUACCCGUGUGUUCAAAAUCCUAUAAACUGGCACCAAAUCAGGGGAGGUUUGUAGGCAUACUUGUCUUUUUUUUUGUGCUAAGAGCUACUCAUAUGUCUAAAUAAUCUGAAAUUUAAAACGCACUUCACACACUAAAUUACCUACCAUGCAAAAUAAAAUUGGAUUUUUUUUGUGUGUGUUUGUUUUUCUUGACCGAAUGCAAAUGAGGCUUGGCUCAGAAAUGGAUAUUCACUAGUGUUGAUGAAAUCACACAAUCGCGCGCCGCCGGCCAUGGAUUUGACCGACCAUGGAUUUGCCCGACCACGGAUUUGACGAUCAGGAUUCGCCCUUUUCUCCCGGACUUCAGACAAAACCGCGGUUUCUAAUAGGAAAUUGUAGGUCAUAAUUGCUUCACUAAUAUAGGAAUAGAAAAAAAAAUCGUAAGUGAUUUCUUUUUUUGCGAAUAAGAUCAUAAAGGAUUAUUACCACUAAGGCCUCCAGAAAAAAAAUCAUAAAAGAUCUCUUUUUUUGCGAAUAAGAUCAUAAAGGAUUAUUGCCACUAAGGCCUCCUUUUGCUUCCUAAGAUAGGAGGAAAAUCAUAUUAAGCGAGGUGGCAUGUAUUUUAAUCUCUACUAGGAAACUCUAGGCUAAUACUUCUUUUUCUUUGAAAUGUGAAGGAUUGAUUCCUAUCUUACAUAGAAUAGAGAUCCAUUCCUGCGAAACAAAGGGUUUCAAAGGAUUUUUAUUUUCCAUUGAAAUUUCUUUCUCAUAGAAUUUCUACAAAAGUCCCACAAACCAAAGGAGGCCUAAGAAAAAUACACCAUGUUUUUUGUCAUCUCCUGUACAUUCUUUAGUAUAGUUCUCAAUCCGCUCCGCAAAUCUGAUUUCAUGUCUUCACCCCACCAGAUAAACGUCAAUGAAAACUGUUUGCUGCUUUAUUCUAAUAUACUAUACCCGUGUGUUCAAAAUCCCAUAAACUGGAGCUACUCAUAUGUCUAAAUAAUCUGAAAUUUAAAACGCACUUCACGCACUAAAUUACCUACCAUGCAAAAAAAAAUUGCAUUUUUUUUUGUGUGUGUUUGUUUUUCUUGACCGAAUGCAAAUGAGGCUUGGCUCAGAAAUGGAUAUUCACUAGUGUUGAUGAAAUCACGCAAUCGCGCGCAGCCGGCCAUGGAUUUGACCGACCACGGAUUUGACGAUCAGGAUUCGCCCUUUUCUCCCGGACUUCAGACAAAACCGCGGUUACUAAUAGGAAAUUGUAGGUCAUAAUCGCUUCACUAAUUGUGUGCCGUUGGGGUGCACGUAUGUGUCGUAAUGGUAAGUUCUAUAUGCCGCUUGCUGUAACAGAUAUUCUACAUAACGCCCAGACCGGUGCGCCAAUGGGCCGAGGUCAAUUUAACUUUACCUCCUCGUUUUUACUUCGUUUUUUCUUUUCGACAGCACCUGCCUUUUCUGUCUCGGUUUUCUAUUCUGGUUUUUCAUUUGUUACUUUUUCGGUUUUCGUUUUGAUAUUUUCUUGGGAUUCUUAGGGUCUUUACGGUUUUUGCUAGGUUCUCUUUCUGAUUUUAUUUUUAGUGGUUUUCUACUGGUUUUCCCUUUCUUAUCUGCUGUUGCGUCUUCUGUUUUUAUUUUAUUCUUUUUCAUUUCCCCUUCUGGAAACCACAUCAGGGCUGGCUUUUUAACUACUCGUAUACUCCCUUCGUUUUUAAAUAUUUGUCUUUCUAGAGAUUUCAACAAGUGACUACAUACGAAGCAAAAUGAUUGAAUCUACACUCUAAAAUAUGUCUAUAUACAUUCCUAUGUGGUAACCAUUUGAAAUCUCUAAAAAGACAAAUAUUUAGGAACGGAGAGAGUAGAAGUGGAGAAUCAAAUCCAUUUUAUCCAUACAUAUGCUCUAAUUCUACGGUUCACAACACUUACAUGCUUAGCAUCGAGCAUCAAACACGCUUAACGUUCUAAUUGCCCAUCACUGAUGUUGGUUAUAAACACAUUGAACCACUCCAUAUGAAUUUUUUCACGCAAAUAAUAUCUUACUAAGUAUUAACAUGCACCAAAUACCAACGUGCAUCUAAUAUCUUACCAAAUACCAACGUGCAACUAGUAUUCUAUCUAAUGUCAACGUGCAUUCCAUUUACACAAUUACACAAUUACUAGGGAAAUUUCAAUUACUAGUAGGAAAAUAAAGCUCUGUUAUUGGAGAAAAAGAAACAUGAUGCGGUAUCAAUCUUCCAGCUCUCCAACCCAGCGACCCAUUUCAUCGGUUUGGAUCAUCCGGACGAAAAAGUUGGCCCAACGGGACGACCAAAAUGGAUAAAGCGUCCGCCCGCUGUCCGUUUGUUGUUCGUUUGGGUCACCACAUUUGGACGGCGCACCUCCUCCUCCCGUGCACCUCUGCCGUCCAAUGCCCACCCCACGCGCCAUGCCGUCCUGUAACAUGCAAGUCCGAUGUUGGUCGGGUGCUCCUCGGAUGCUCGUCGCCCGCAGGUCGGACGUUGUUCAGACGCAAGUCAGAUGCUGGUCGGAGGCAGGGCCAGAGAGAAGCAGCAUCGGAGCACAUCGGCAUUGUCGCGCCCUUGCAUGCGUGCGUGUCGGUAGCCGCGCCCGGUAGAAGGUGCUCGUAGUCCUUGCCCUUCGGCGCUGCUCAAGGCUGAUCUCAUGGAGNNNNNNNNNNNNNNNNNNNNNNNNNNNNNNNNNNNNNNNNNNNNNNNNNNNNNNNNNNNNNNNNNNNNNNNNNNNNNNNNNNNNNNNNNNNNNNNNNNNNNNNNNNNNNNNNNNNNNNNNNNNNNNNNNNNNNNNNNNNNNNNNNNNNNNNNNNNNNNNNNNNNNNNNNNNNNNNNNNNNNNNNNNNNNNNNNNNNNNNNNNNNNNNNNNNNNNNNNNNNNNNNNNNNNNNNNNNNNNNNNNNNNNNNNNNNNNNGGCCACGCGUCGCCGCGCCACACCCGGCAGCGCCUCGCCUCGCCUUGCCCAGCCGCGCCCUGGCAGCGCCCGACCUUGCGCUCGUCGCGCCAUGGUCGUUGCGCUCGCCGUGCCGCCCCUCCGUGGGGUUCGAGCUCCCGUCGGCCUCCCCGCGUGCUGCGAGCUCCCCUGCCAGCUACGUGUUUGAGGAAAUGUCAGGGCGGACAUGUCGAAAAUGGGUCGGCUAUCGUUGGGCGCACCGGUCGACUCAAUUGAAAAAAUAGACACGGACGAGCGGACGGCCUGACACAAACAGAAAAAAGGACAAAAUCGACGUGCACUCGGGUCGCCGGUUGGAGUUGCUUUAAAGGCCAAUGAAACCCAGCAGUGACGCUAGUAUCUUGGUGGUGGAGUUGCUCUAAAGGCCAAUGAAACCCAGCAGUGACGCUAGUAUCUUGGUGGUCUUAAUUGGGUCAUUGCAUGGUGGCAAGGAGAAGUUAGCCGAGUAACAGUACUAGUACAACUCACGAGUCACAACCAUGUAGGGCACUCUCCAUCUGAUGAGCCGACACAAUGUACUACCCGAAGGAGUAUAGUUUUUCGUCUAAAAGCAAGGCUAAUGUCUUGGUGUGUUAUUUUACCGAAUCAAUUUUCUAGUAGUACUAUCAUACGGAUAAUUCAAGUGUUAACAUCAUAUACCACAGUUUUAAGUGUCAACAUCAUAUCUCUAUACUUCAUAGUUCUUCAUACGGCUUAUCGGUGAACAACCUUGUUGCUACACCAUUUACGAUCUCAUCACAUUAUUCAGUUGAACAUGACUUCCAAUCAUAGCUAAUUAGUUUCCAUUUUUGGGAGGAAUGUAUGUGCACUGCUGGCACUUACACGCCCCCGCAACACACUCGCCAUAUCCGCCGACCCACACACGGUCGAUGCAUGCCUGAUUGCAGGUAUUGCUAUCACAUGGCUUUGGCGACGGGAUAAUGCUUGUCGUACAAGGGAUUCCUUCAACGCCCG